rnacentral:rRNA from 1 species
AUUGAACGCUGGCGGCAUGCCUUACACAUGCAAGUCGAACGGCAGCACGGGAGCAAUCCUGGUGGCGAGUGGCGAACGGGUGAGUAAUAUAUCGGAACGUGCCCGGUCGUGGGGAUAACGUAGCGAAAGCUACGCUAAUACCGCAUACGAUCUACGGAUGAAAGCGGGGGAUCGCAAGACCUCGCGCGAUUGGAGCGGCCGAUAUCAGAUUAGGUAGUUGGUGAGGUAAAGGCUCACCAAGCCGACGAUCUGUAGCUGGUCUGAGAGGACGACCAGCCACACUGGGACUGAGACACGGCCCAGACUCCUACGGGAGGCAGCAGUGGGGAAUUUUGGACAAAUGGGCGCAAGCCUGAUCCAGCAAUGCCGCGUGCAGG